rnacentral:rRNA from 1 species
AGUGGCGAACGGGUGAGUAACACGUGGGUAACCUACCUCAUAGUGGGGGAUAACAGUCGGAAACGACUGCUAAUACCGCAUAGGACAUGGGAUCACAUGAUUCUGUGAGGAAAGGUGGCGCAAGCUAUCGCUAAGAGAUGGACCCGCGGUGCAUUAGCUAGUUGGUAGGGUAAGGGCCUACCAAGGCGAUGAUGCAUAGCCGACCUGAGAGGGUGAUCGGCCACAUUGGGACUGAGACACGGCCCAAACUCCUACGGGAGGCAGCAGUAGGGAAUCUUCCGCAAUGGACGCAAGUCUGACGGAGCAACGCCGCGUGAGUGAAGAAGGUCUUCGGAUCGUAAAGCUCUGUUGUUAGAGAAGAACAGCGCAUAGAGUAACUGUUAUGCGUGUGACGGUAUCUAACCAGAAAGCCACGGCUAACUACGUGCCAGCAGCCGCGGUAAUACGUAGGUGGCGAGCGCUGUCCGGAUUUAUUGGGCGUAAAGGGAGUGUAGGCGGUCUUUUAAGUCUGAUGUGAAAGCCCACGGCUCAACCGUGGAGGGUCAUUGGAAACUGGGAGACUUGAGUGCAGAAGAGGAGAGCGGAAUUCCAUGUGUAGCGGUGAAAUGCGUAGAUAUAUGGAGGACACCAGUGGCGAAG